AUAUCAUUAAGCGGAGGAAGAGAAAACAACAGUGAUUCCCCCAGUAGUGGCGAACGAAGAGGGAAAAGCCCAAAUUUGAAAUCCGCUGUCUGUCGGCAGCCGAAUUGUAGUUUUACGAGCAGCUCUGUGGCGCUUGUGUAGGUCCAAGUCACACUGGAACGGUGCGCCAGGGAGGGUGAUAGCCCCGUACCCGGCCUGCGCCAGAAGCGCCACACACAUUGCUGACUCGGAGAGUCGGGUUGUUCGGGAAUGCAGCCCCAAGCGGGAGGUAAACUUCUCCCAAGGCUAAAUACUGGCGAGAGACCGAUAGCGAACAAGUACCGUGAGG
rnacentral:rRNA from 1 species